GUAGUACUCCCUCCGUCCCAAAUUACUUGUCUUAGAUUUGUCUAGAUACGGAUGUAUUAGUGUUAGAUACAUCCGUAUGUAGACAAAUCUAAGACAAGUAAUUCGGGGCGGAGAUUGUACUUG
rfam:Triticum aestivum genome assembly, contig: Triticum_aestivum_CS42_TGACv1_scaffold_000880_1AL